CUGCGGGGUCAGGAUGCUGUGGGGCGGGGAUGCUGCGGGGUCAGGAUGCUGUAGGGUCAGGAUGCUGCUGGCAGCUGCCUCCUUCGCCGCAGGCUCGGUCCGACCCUUCCCGGCCCACGGCAAGCGCUGGAGGACGGGAGCAGGACGGAGCGAGGAGGACCCCGUGUGACCGGAGAUCCCAACUACAGGCGGUGAAAUUCCCUAGGAAGAAAGCAUCAAGGAGACCUGAGCCAUCUCUAAAGUGUGACUGGAUUUGGUUUUCUCCUCCUCUUGGAGGUGGGGAUGUGGCACUGAAGAGAGGACCAUGGCAGUAAUGUCCCCCUAGCCCCCUGAAAGGGUCCCAUCCUGGCCUCAGGCUGCAGAGCCUCUAAAUGAGUCAGGUUGGUCCUGGAGUCUGGCCCAAGGCUUGGGAGCUACUGGGGAGCUCCCAGGGACACAAGAAACAAGAACAGCCUCACUUUGAUACGUUCAUGUGUGCACAAAUAUACAAUGAAAAUAAUGAUUAUAUUAUAAUUUGAAAUAGAAUUACUGCUGGGUCAAUCUACAUAUUAUAUACUGAUUACUUUUGUGUAUGGUUAUAAUACUUAAUAGACAUUUGGCUUAUGUUUGUCUACAUACAUGUAUCUGUGCACCAUCCCAUUUAUUAUAUAAAUACUCAAAUAUUCCCCAGCAUAAAAGGGGGAGUCCCUUCCUUUGCUGCACUGUUGAGCUUUGCCACAGCCCAGCAUGGCUCAGGAGUCAUUGAGGAGCCAGCCCCUUCCUCCCAGUGCCUCCAGCAGCUCCAGCCUGGUGAGCGCUGAGCACUCUGCUGUGUUCUGGGUUUGCUAUGGAGCUGUGAGUGUGCUGAGCACUCUGCUGUGCUCUGGGUUUGCUGGGUUAUGGAGCUGUGUCUGCUCAGCACUCUGCUGUACUCUGGGUUUGCUAGGCUGUGUAGCUCCUGGCCCCAUCCCUCAUGGCCCAUGUGAAGCUGUUGAGUUUCUCCUUCCAGUGGAACAAAAUGGAGCUUCAGUGAUCAGGAGGUUUCUUUCCAGACUUUCCUGUGCACCACAGAUUGGGUUGUUUACCAGCUGGAGGAUUAAAGAGACUGUCAUUGAAGAGAAAAAAAAAAAAAAACCCAAGUGUAUUCAAGUAUGUCUUGGAAGCAGUGUCUCCCUUGAAGGAGGCUUUUCAGACUUGCUGUGUUUGCUGGCUGGCACUUUGCUUGUCCCUGCUAAGGAAGCUCCAUCUCACAGAGAGUUUCUGGAAAAUUACUGUGUUAGGAUGGAGGCAGUGAGUGGAAGCAGUGGGGGGAGAAAAAUAAAUUAUUUGACUAUCCCUGAAAACAAACCCCUGUUCCCAUCUUCAUCUAGAGAUGGUGAGAGCCCCUCCUUUGCCUGCAAAGAAAAACCAGGAAUGCACCCAGGAGUGGGGGAACCCCUGACUGACCUUCCUCCCCAAGGUUCAUCUGGCAUCUCCCCAGGGUCCCAGCAGCCACCCCAGCAUCCCAACACCUGUGCUGCUCCAGGGCAGGCACCCAAUCCCUCCCAAACUCCAGUGCUCUUCCUCAGCCUCAUCCCACAACACUGACAUGAACCUGAGAUUUAAUUGGGGCACACCUGGUGGUCAGGAGUGAGCCUACCUGCACUGCUAAUACAGUGGGAAAUAAAACCAUGGGACACUAAAAAAAAUAUAUGUAUUGUUUCACUGCCCACUACUAGAGUCUAGAUUGGCUGCCUGCACAGGGUUCAAAACCAGCCAAUCUCAUUCUCUGCCAACACUCCACAUUUUCCUUUAUUCCCUCUAAAGCUUAUAGCAAGGUAAGCCUUCCACAAGCAUGUCACAGCACUGGGUGGGUGUCUCAGUCCAGUACCAGCACUGAGCCCAAAGGGGCAGCUCAGCAGCCAAGGACUAAAGAGCAGCAAGAAAUAAACUCUCUUCUUCCACCUCCUCCUUUUUUAAUGCUAUUGCUUGUUUGGGAGCUGUGAGGACUAAAUACAAAUAAAAGUCACUGUUGGCUGAAA